ACUCCUACGGGAGGCAGCAGUGGGGAAUAUUGCACAAUGGGCGCAAGCCUGAUGCAGCAACGCCGCGUGAGGGAUGACGGCCUUCGGGUUGUAAACCUCUUUUAGUAGGGAAGAAGCGUAAGUGACGGUACCUGCAGAAAAAGCACCGGCUAACUACGUGCCAGCAGCCGCGGUAAU
rnacentral:rRNA from 1 species